rnacentral:lncRNA from 1 species
GCGGGCGGAGCCCGGCGCCGCGGCCAGGAUUUCCCACCUCGCUCCCGCGACUCCGCUGCGGGUCUGCACACCCGAGGACUCGGUUUGAAACGCCCGCUUAUUUAUUUUCUUGUCGCCUCGCUACAAGAUUCUAUCCUUGUUUGGGCAUGAGUGGGGGGCGGCAGUCUCGUGGGACCGGCGGCAUUCGUCGUUCCUCCUUACGGGGAUAAUUCGAGAAGUGCGGUCCGGGGGUACUUAACCGAAACUAGCAAUCCCAGGCGGUACAAGGCCCUCCAUCGUAGGCAAAGCACUACCUGAAUGUAGAUUUGGGCCAUACGUUGGAAAAUAAGACAUGAGAGUAUGCUCCGAUCAACUUUUACUGUUCACUGGACAACUAUUUUGGGAAUUUGCAGACCUAUAAAGCCCAUCUAUAAAUCUCAAGCAUGUCCACUUUCAGAGAAGAGAAAUGCUGACAACCAUUUAGUCUCUGAGGACAACACUUUUAAAGUGUAACAAUGUGGCAUCCAGAGCUUAUCCAGAUGAGCGGAGAGCAAAUGAAUUUCCUUCUGCUCCCCUGUUGAAGAGGAGAGAAAAAUUCUUCAAGCUCACCUGUUCUUCUCAUCGCUGGACCUAUAAAGUGGCAUUAAUCAUCAAGAGUCCAGCAGAAUUGGGAAAGUCAUGUAUGCUGCAAAGUACAUUCCAAAGUCUUAAAAUAUUCUUGUCUUAUCCACUGUUGUUUAUUUGUUUACUUAUUUUUAAACAAACAUCUGUUUGAAAGAGGGAGUGCUAACUGUGUGUUCUGGUAUCCCUU